CAUCUUACGAGGCAGCAUUGGA
rnacentral:miRNA from 3 species